rnacentral:rRNA from 1 species
AUUGAACGCUGGCGGCAGGCCUAACACAUGCAAGUCGAACGGAGUGGCGGACGGGUGAGUAAUGUCUGGGAAACUGCCUUAUGGAGGGGGAUAACUACUGGAACCGGUGGCUAAUACCGCAUACUAGCAGAUGAGCCUAGGUCGGAUUAGCUAGUUGGUGGGGUAAAGGCCUACCAAGGCGACGAUCCGUAACUGGUCUGAGAGGGUGAUCAGUCACACUGGAACUGAGACACGGUCCAGACUCCUACGGGAGGCAGCAGUGGGGAAUAUUGGACAAUGGGCGAAAGCCUGACCCAGCCAUGCCGCGUGAGUGAAGAAGGUCUUCGGAUUGUAAAGCACUUUAAGUUGGGAGGCGUUACCAACAGAAUAAGCACCGGCUAACUCCGUGCCAGCAGCCGCGGUAAUAC